rnacentral:lncRNA from 1 species
CUACCUCUCCAUGAAGUUUUUGAAGCCCCUUCAAAUAAUUUCUAAGAUUUUAAGGUAAGCAGAGAUGAGUGCUCAAUUUUCAGAAAGAGACUUUGGUGGCAUGAGAUGUAAAAACAGUUUCUGUGUGGAUAACACAGUGCCUGCUUGAUGUGACUAGAACUCUUUAUCUCCUACAGGUUGCAUUUUUUCCUUUCCAGACAGGAGACUCCACUUAAGUGGUUCCAAGAAUUCCUGUCUGCAAAAUCGUCCCUUUGGAUGGAAUUCUGUAGAAGCACUCUCCCCUUUUAUAAACACCCAGAUGUCAUAGCACAAAUGCUCACAUGGAGUUAUGUCUCUUACCUAAAGUCUCCAGCCUUCUUUCAAGAACUUCAGCGUGUUAAAUAAAAUUCACACAAACCUUGGGAAUCAGAAAAUCCUACUGAACUCUCUCUUAAGGCCAUUGAUUUCAGUGUCUUCUAUCUUGAUGUGGCAAAGGGCAGAUGAAGGGAUACUGUGUGUUGACUCCUCCACGCUGAUUCACAGUGCCCCAUCACAUUUAUCAAUUCUUUAAUCCCAGGAUAAGUGUGAGAAUUAUCAGAAGGGUUAUAAUUGAAUGUGGCUGUGGAGAAAUUCUUCUGAUGGUGAGACAGUUUCAUUGGGAAUAAUUAAGAAGUUAACUUCUUAAUUAAGAAGUUACACUUCAAGGCUCCUCUCAACUCAGACAAUUUCUCAGACUUUCUUUGUUUUUGACAACUUUUACAGUUUAAGGAGUCCUGGGAGGAUGUUUCAUAGAAUGUCCCUUACUUUGGGUUAGUCUGAUGAUUUUCUCACAAUAGUCAGAGGUUGCAGGUUGUUAGGAGAAAGAAUACAGAGGUAAAGUAUCAUUUUCAUCACAUCAUAUCAAAGAGUCCAUGCCUUUACUAUAUUUAUCAUUGAUGAUACAAACUUUGAACACAUGGCCGAGGUAGUCUUCAUUAUGUUUCUCCAGGGUUUUCUCCCUCCAGUUCCAUAUUGUACCCUUUAGGAGGAGACCAUUAUUCACAGCUCCUAAGAAUUUGGAGCUAUGCUUCAUGUGCUUGAGGGGGGAAACUCUAUAUUAUUUGAAAUUCUUUUGUAUGU